AGCCUUCUGUAUUCGCGUUGAGACUUCGUCACACACCAGGCCACAAGGGCUGAUGAUACUCCCAAGAUAAGUGAAGAG
rnacentral:pre_miRNA from 1 species